AUUGAACGCUGGCGGCAGGCCUAACACAUGCAAGUCGAGCGGAUGAAGGGAGCUUGCUCCUGGAUUCAGCGGCGGACGGGUGAGUAAUGCCUAGGAAUCUGCCUGGUCGUGGGGGAUAACGUCCGGAAACGGGCGCUAAUACCGCAUACGUCCUGUGGGAGAAAGUGGGGGAUCUUCGGACCUCACGCUAUCAGAUGAGCCUAGGUCGGAUUAGCUAGUUGGUGGGGUAAAGGCCUACCAAGGCGACGAUCCGUAACUGGUCUGAGAGGAUGAUCAGUCACACUGGAACUGAGACACGGUCCAGACUCCUACGGGAGGCAGCAGUGGGGAAUAUUGGACAAUGGGCGAAAGCCUGAUCCAGCCAUGCCGCGUGUGUGAAGAAGGUCUUCGGAUUGUAAAGCACUUUAAGUUGGGAGGAAGGGCAGUAAGUUAAUACCUUGCUGUUUUGACGUUACCAACAGAAUAAGCACCGGCUAACUUCGUG
rnacentral:rRNA from 1 species